GUUCAAACCCUUCGGUGCUUCCUGAUUGUGGAGGGAAACUUUUCCUUCUCAAUUCAAUCACCGAGAUCGUGAGCGAAGGCAACGGGCUCAGAAAGGAUUUGUCUUCCUGGGAGUUGAGAUCAUGGCAAGCAGGAAAAGAGCUCAAGCAGGUAACACAACAAAUCCUGGGGCUCACACCAGAUUUCAAGGAUAGUAAUGAAGAAACUAAAGAUAUUUUCAAGGUAAUAAUGAAGAAACUACAGACAUUUUCAAGCUUCACACCCUUAAUUUGAUGUUUUGGGUAACUACCUCUCUCCCUCCCAAGUUAUUGUAAUUUUAUCCUUAUUAAAUGCUAUACUUCUAUCUCAGUAAAAGAAAUACAGGCAAGAAAACAACCUGACUGAUUGUUUAGGUGGUGGAUUAGCAGUAUCUCAGAGAGAAGGGAAGUGUUUCAGAGCAGUGCCUGCUUCACUCAGUGAUCCUCUUUCAUCCUCCUUUCCUUUCCUCAUGUGAUGAAUGGCAUGAAAUGGGGUCAUGGAACCUGAACACUUCACUCCAAACAGAACUCUUCUUUCUAAUCAGCACCCAGGCACAGAAAACAGGCCAUUCCUGAGCAGAAUUAAUUGCACUUAAAAGGAAAUGUGUGUGCACUGGAGAAGCUUUUCUGUCAUGGGGGACAGAAAAUCCAAAAACGGAUUUCCAGGGCUGGUGAGCAGCCAAGGGGAAGAGGCACAUGGAGAAGAAGAAUGUGGCAUUCAGGAGAGGUUUUCAGGUGCUAAAGGUGUGGUAAUUAAACAGCACAACCCAAUUUUCAUGUCACCAUCCCCAGGAAGCUCUGUGAGGACUUAAAACCUCGAGAUGGGACAAAACAAAGGCUUGAUCCCUGCCUCGGGAAAACUGGCUGGAAUCCCCUGGGUCGCUGCUUGGACACGUCUGAGUCCAUCAGCUGGGAAUGAGCAGCUUUCCUGUGUAUGGGGCAGGCCCAACUCUCACUGAACUCCAGAAUUUAUCAACUACCACAAAAUUAUUCCUGGGCUGGGCCCAGGAAGGGGACUCUGAAGUCUCUUUGGAAUGGGGACCACAGGGAAAAUUAGAAAAUCCAGAAUGAGGGGACCUCAAAGCUCAUCCAGUUCCACCCCUUGCCGUGGGCAGGAACUCCCUCCACUAUCCCAGAGUGCUCCAGCUGGCCUGGGACACUUCCAAGGAAAAUGUUCUGCUGAAGCUUGUUGGAGGCUGGGAAUGUUUUGUGUCUGUCACAACUGCACAGUCCUUUUCUCACGUUGGUGUUACUUUUGGGACCUGUAUUAACCAUAUUUCUAUAACUAUUAAUGCUUAAUUAAAGGAAAGCAGUGUCUCCAUAUGGGAAUGUUCUGACCCAUGGCUAAUCCCUUUUUAGCUCAGAAAACAGCACUUAAAACUGCUGAGGCUCUUUUAUACCUUCCCAUGGGUCAGUUUUAAAUCCAUACAAUAUAAAUCGAGAUACUGAUCUAAGAACUCAUAUAUAUAUAUGAAUAGAUGGGGAAAAAUCUGUUAUUUAUGCUACCAGAUGUGAUCAACAGAAGCACAAGGCAGUGGGGCUGCCAUAAAAUGAAGUUCUGGAGGAAAAUAUUAGUCCAAAACCCAAAAGGGUUUCCAGCCCUUCUCUUGUCUUUACUCAGCAAGUGUCAAAGGGAAAGUUUGUUCUCAUUUUGCAGCCCUGAGAAAAGGUACCUCUGCUGAGCUCCUG